GCCGCGUGUGUGAAGAAGGUUUUCGGAUUGUAAAGCACUUUCGGCGGGGACGAUGAUGACGGUACCCGCAGAAGAAGCCCCGGCUAACUUCGUGCCAGCAGCCGCGGUAAUACGAAGGGGGCUAGCGUUGCUCGGAAUGACUGGGCGUAAAGGGCGUGUAGGCGGUUUGUACAGUUAGAUGUGAAAUCCCCGGGCUUAACCUGGGAGCUGCAUUUAAUACGUGCAGACUAGAGUGUGAGAGAGGGUUGUGGAAUUCCCAGUGUAGAGGUGAAAUUCGUAGAUAUUGGGAAGAACACCGGUGGCGAAGGCGGCAACCUGGCUCAUUACUGACGCUGAGGCGCGAAAGCGUGGGGAGCAAACAGGAUUA
rnacentral:rRNA from 1 species